UGCUGGUGCCCGAGUGGAUUGCGCAGGUGCCCACGUGUGAUGGGCCCGAGCCCGAAGGCUCGGACUCUCCGUUCGCCACGGACACCGGCUACCA
rnacentral:tRNA from 1 species